GCAGUUAUGCUUCGGAUGCUUCGC
rnacentral:siRNA from 1 species